GUAGGUGGCAAGCGUUGUCCGGAAUUAUUGGGCGUAAAGCGCGCGCAGGUGGUUCUUUAAGUCUGAUGUGAAAGCCCCCGGCUCAACCGGGGAGGGUCAUUGGAAACUGGGGAACUUGAGUGCAGGAGAGGAAAGUGGAAUUCCACGUGUAGCGGUGAAAUGCGUAGAUAUGUGGAGGAACACCAGUGGCGAAGGCGACUUUCUGGCAUGUAACUGACACUGAGGCGCGAAAGCGUGGGGAGCAAACAGGGAUUAGAUACCCUGGUAGUCCACGCCGUAAACGAUGAGUGCUAAGUGUUGGGGGGGUUUCCGCCCCCUCAGUGCUGCAGCUAACGCAUUAAGCACUCCGCCUGGGAGUACGGUCGCAAGACUG
rnacentral:rRNA from 1 species